GCCAGGCAUGGUGGCACAUGCCUGUAAUCCCAGCUACCUGGGAGGCUGAGGCAGGAGAAUCACUUGAACCUGGGAGACAGAGGUUGCAGUGAGCCAAGAUCACGCCACUGCACUCCAGCCUGGGUGACAGAGUGAGACUCUGUCUCAA
rnacentral:SRP_RNA from 1 species